rnacentral:lncRNA from 1 species
UAGGUGGAUGAAGACAGCCAAAGGGCACGAACCCGGGGCCUUCAGUUGAGGGAUGCAGCCACCUCCAGGUGAUCGGUAGGGAUGAAGCUGAAGGAGCAAACAUCCAGAUGUCACUCUGUGUGCACUCUUCCAUCUGGCGGUGCCUCCUAUUGGCAGAACUCAACCAGAAGACGGGGACAAGGAAUCUGCGGAUGCCGUCCCUAGGGUCAGCCUCUGAGGCCCAGACGAAGGCGGAGGAGGCUGGAGAGCAGAUCCGCAAGGACAAAUGGAAAGUGGCAGGAAAAGUUCACUGACCCUGGGCUAUACCUGUUGUACCAGGCAGAACCAGUUACAUAACCUGUGGGUCUUAAUGAAAAAUGAAAAUGCAGGGCCCCUUCUUCAAAAUCCAUUCAGUAUUUCAAGAUGGCAGUGGCAGAACAUUAAGGAGAAGGUAAGGCUUUUCUAAGUGUCGGGUCACGUGGAUCUGCACAGAUUUCUGCCUACGUGUAGAAACACACGUAGAAUGUUUUCUAGCAGAAUACUAUGGCUGCAUGGUAGUCCAAUUACUUCACUAUCUGUGGAGGUUUGGGGAGCAGGAUAUAUGGAAUUCGACAUAAUGGCAGUGUUCUAGGGGUACAGAGAUCUACCAGAACAGGGGGGUUAUUUGAGGGAGCAUUUUUACAGUGCAACAUUUUUUUUCAAUUAGGCAAAACUUAGAGAAUAGAACAGAGAAACCAAGAGACAUUCGU